rnacentral:rRNA from 1 species
AACGAACGCUGGCGGCAUGCCUAACACAUGCAAGUCGAACGAGACCUUCGGGUCUAGUGGCGCACGGGUGCGCAACGCGUGGGAACCUGCCCUUAGGUUCGGAAUAACUCCCCGAAAGGGGUGCUAAUACCGGAUAAUGUCUUCGGACCAAAGAUUUAUCGCCUUUGGAUGGUCCCGCGUUGGAUUAGCUAGUUGGUAGGGUAAAAGCCUACCAAGGCGACGAUCCAUAGCUGGUCUGAGAGGAUGAUCAGCCGCACUGGGACUGAGACACGGCCCAGACUCCUACGGGAGGCAGCAGUGGGGAAUAUUGGACAAUGGGCGAAAGCCUGAUCCAGCAAUGCCGCGUGAGUGAUGAAGGCCUUAGGGUUGUAAAGCUCUUUUACCCGGGAUGAUAAUGACAGUACCGGGAGAAUAAGCUCCGGCUAACUCCGUG